UAUCAGGCCUUGCACACCCAUCUUAAAG
rnacentral:piRNA from 1 species